GUGGGGAAUAUUGGACAAUGGGCGAAAGCCUGAUCCAGCCAUGCCGCGUGUGUGAAGAAGGUCUUCGGAUUGUAAAGCACUUUAAGUUGGGAGGAAGGGCAGUAAGUUAAUACCUGGGGCUAAUGACGGUACCGUAAGAAUAAGCACCGGCUAACUUCGUGCCAGCAGCCGCGGUAAUACGAAGGGUGCAAGCGUUAAUCGGAAUUACUGGGCGUAAAGCGCGCGUAGGUGGUGUUGUAAGUUGGAGGUGAAAUCCCCGGGCUCAACCUGGGAACUGCCUCCAAAACUGCAUGACUAGAGUACGGUAGAGGGUAGUGGAAUUUCCUGUGUAGCGGUGAAAUGCGGAGAUAUAGGAAGGAACACCAGUGGCGAAGGCGACUACCUGGACUGAUACUGACACUGAGGUGCGAAAGCGUGGGGAGCAAACAGGAUUAGAAACCCUGGUAGUCC
rnacentral:rRNA from 1 species